rnacentral:lncRNA from 1 species
UAGACAACAGACGCUAUUACCUGCAAGAAUUUUCUGUUUUCAGUCACAGUGCUGCCUUUGCUUUGUUCACAGUUCAUGCCUAUGGUCGGUGACACAUUACAAAUAAUGAUUUUGGCUUCUUUCUAGUUGUUUUGUUUAAAGGGACAGCGAAAUACAAAAAAGGGAUAUUGUGUUUAAGGCCAAAAUGGCCACCUUUUGUGUACAUCCCAAAAUGUUCUAAGUCCUUUAUAAAGGCCACAUUCAGGCAAGUGGAUGCAACGGCGUGGCUUGCCAAGCUUAAAAGAGCUCCUGUCACUCUCUACUCUCGCUUACGGCCAUACCACCCUGAGCACGCCUGAUCUCGUCUGAUCUCGGAAGCUAAGCAGUGUCGGGCCUGGUUAGUACUUGGAUGGGAGACCGCCUGGGAAUACCAGGUGCUGUAAGCUUUUACAUUUCUCCUCAGCUUAAAAGAGCUCCUGUCACUCUCUACUCUCGCUUACGGCCAUACCACCCUGAGCACGCCUGAUCUCGUCUGAUCUCGGAAGCUAAGCAGUGUCGGGCCUAGUUAGUACUUGGAUGGGAGACCGCCUGGGAAUACCAGGUGCCGUAAGCUUUUACAUUUCUCCUCACCCCUAGUAGAGCGGGCUGUUUGCUCAGGUCUACAUUAUACUGCACCGUGUUAUGGGAAAAGAAUUUUCGUUCUUAUUCUAUGCAGUUAUUGUACAAUUUAUGAGGUGUUUUCUGCAAUUAUUAUCUUGUAUUUUUUAUUACUUGUAAUUUAUGUAUUUGACACUUCACCUAGCUUGUUCAAUUAUUUGUUAACUCAAUAAUUGCAUCGUUCUUAGACAACAGACGCUAUUACCUGCAAGAAUUUUCUGUUUUCAGUCACAAUGCUGCUUUUGCUUUGUUCACAGUUCAUGCCUAUGGUCGGUGACACAUUACAAGUAAUGACUUUGGCUUCUUUCUAGUUGUUUUGUUUAAAGGGAGAGCGAAAUACAAAAAAGGGAAUAUUGUGUUUAAGGCCAAAAUGGCCACCUUCUGUGUACGUCCCAAAUGUUCUAAGUCCUUAUAAACACCACAUUCAGGCAAGUGGAUGCAACGGCGUGGCUUGCCAAGCUUAAAAGAGCUCCUGUCACUCUCUUCUCUCGCUUACGGCUAUACCACCCUGAGCACGCCCGAUCUCGUCUGAUCUCGGAAACUAAGCAGGGUCGGGCCUGGUUAGUACUUGGAUGGGAGACCGCCUGGGAAUACCAGGUGCUGUAAGCUUUUACAGUUCUCCUCAACCCUAGCAGAGCGGGCUGUUUGCUAAGGUCCACAUUAUACUGCACCGUGUUUUGGGAAAAGUGUUUUCUUUCUUAUUGUAUGCAGUUAUUGUAUGAUUUAUGAGGUUUCUUCUGCAAUAAUAUCUUGUGUUUUUUAUUACUUUUAUUUUAUGUAUUUGACAUUUCACCUAGAUUGUUCAAUUAUUUGUUAACUCAAUGACUGCAUCGUUCUUAGACAACAGACGCUUUUACCUGCAAGAAUUUUCUGUUUUCAGUCACAGUGCUGC